rnacentral:rRNA from 1 species
CAGGUGCAGAUCUUGGUGGUAGUACAACUAUUCAAACGAGAGCUUUGAAGGCCGAAGUGGAGCAGGGUUCCAUGUGAACAGCAGUUGAACAUGGGUCAGUCGGUCCUAAGCGAUAGGCGAGCGCCGUUCCGAAGGGACGGGCGAUGGCCUCCGUUGCCCUCAGCCGAUCGAAAGGGAGUCGGGUUCAGAUCCCCGAAUCCGGAGCGGCGGAGACGGGCGCCGCGAGGCUCCCCAGUGCGGUAACGCAGCGAUCCCGGAGAAGCCAGCGGGAGA